rnacentral:rRNA from 1 species
AUUGAACGCUGGCGGCAGGCCUAACACAUGCAAGUCGAACGGUAACAGGAAGCAGCUUGCUGCUUCGCUGACGAGUGGCGGACGGGUGAGUAAUGUCUGGGAAGCUGCCUGAUGGAGGGGGAUGACUACUGGAAACGGUAGCUAAUCCCGCAUAAUGUCGCAAGACCAAAGGGGGGGACCUUCGGGCCUCUUGCCAUCGGGUGUGCCCAGAUGGGAUUAGCUUGUUGGUGGGGUAACGGCUCACCAAGGCGACGAUCCCUAGCUGGUCUGAGAGGAUGACCAGCCACACUGGAACUGAGACACGGUCCAGACUCCGACGGGAGGCAGCAGUGGGGAAUAUUGCACAAUGGGCGGAAGCCUGAUGCAGCCAUGCGGCGUGUAUGAAGUAGGCCUACGGGGUGUAAAGUAAUUUCAGCGGGGAGGAAGGGAGUAAAGUUAAUACCGUUGCUCAUUGACGUUACCCGCAGAAGAAGCACCGGCUAACUCCGU